AACGAACGCUGGCGGCAUGCCUAACACAUGCAAGUCGAACGAGACCUUCGGGUCUAGUGGCGCACGGGUGCGUAACGCGUGGGAAUCUGCCCUUGGGUUCGGAAUAACAGCGAGAAAUUGCUGCUAAUACCGGAUGAUGACGUAAGUCCAAAGAUUUAUCGCCCAAGGAUGAGCCCGCGUAGGAUUAGCUAGUUGGUGAGGUAAAGGCUCACCAAGGCGACGAUCCUUAGCUGGUCUGAGAGGAUGAUCAGCCACACUGGGACUGAGACACGGCCCAGACUCCUACGGGAGGCAGCAGUGGGGAAUAUUGGACAAUGGGCGAAAGACCUGAUCCAGCAAUGCCGCGUGAGUGAUGAAGGCCUUAGGGGUUGUAAAAGCUCUUUUACCGGAUGAUAAUGACAGUACCGGGAGAAUAAG
rnacentral:rRNA from 1 species